rnacentral:rRNA from 1 species
CCCUUAGAUGUCCUGGGCUGCACGCGCGCUACACUGAUGUGUCCAGUAAGCACCUAACCUCUUCCGAAAGGAACGGGUAACCUUUGCAAAGCACAUCGUGACGGGGAUAGAUUAUUGCAAUUAUUAAUCUUCAACGAGGAAUGCCUAGUAGGCGCAAGUCAUCAGCUUGCGUCGAUUACGUCCCUGCCCUUUGUACACACCGCCCGUCGCUCCUACCGAUUGGGUGUGCUGGUGAAAUGUUCGGAUCGGCCGUUUGUCGCGGUUUCCGCGUCAUGUGGCUGAGAAGUUCAUUAAACCCUCCCACCUAGAGGAAGGAGAAGUCGUAACA